rnacentral:rRNA from 1 species
UACAGAGGUCUCAAGCGUUGUUCGGAUUCAUUGGGCGUAAAGGGUGCGUAGGCGGCGCGGUAAGUCGGGUGUGAAAUCUCGGAGCUUAACUCCGAAACUGCAUUCGAUACUGCCGUGCUUGAGGACUGGAGAGGAGACUGGAAUUUACGGUGUAGCGGUGAAAUGCGUAGAGUAUCAUGAGGAAGACCAGUGGCGAAGGCGGGUCUCUGGACAGUUCCUGACACUGAGGCA